GGGUCAGUAGGUUGGUCGUGCCACCGGUACGUACCGGUCUCACUGAUUCCUCCUUCCUGAAGAACCGUAACGCCAUUAAUUUGGUGUUGCGGGGAAACAGGACUGUUACUUUGAAAAAAUUAGAGUGUUUAAAGCAAGCUAACGCUUGAAUACAUUAGCAUGGAAUAAUGAAAUAGGACGAUCGAUCCUAUUUUGUUGGUUUCUAGGAUUGACGUA
rnacentral:rRNA from 1 species